rnacentral:rRNA from 1 species
CGUGGUGGGAGACAGUGUCAGGCGGGCAGUUUGACUGGGGCGGUCGCCUCCUAAAAGGUAACGGAGGCGCUCAAAGGUUCCCUCAGAAUGGUUGGAAAUCAUUCAUAGAGUGUAAAGGCAUAAGGGAGCUUGACUGCGAGACCUACAAGUCGAGCAGGGUCGAAAGACGGACUUAGUGAUCCGGUGGUUCCGCAUGGAAGGGCCAUCGCUCAACGGAUAAAAGCUACCCCGGGGAUAACAGGCUUAUCUCCCCCAAGAGUUCACAUCGACGGGGAGGUUUGGCACCUCGAUGUCGGCUCAUCGCAUCCUGGGGCUGUAGUCGGUCCCAAGGGUUGGGCUGUUCGCCCAUUAAAGCGGUACGCGAGCUGGGUUCAGAACGUCGUGAGACAGUU